UGCCAGCAGCCUCGGUAAUACUGAGUGGGUUAUCUUGGUUCGGAAUUACUGGGCGUAAAGCGUACGUAGGCGGACUGAUCAGUCAGAGGUGAAAUCCCAGGGCUCAACCCUGGAACUGCCUUUGAUACUGUCAGUCUUGAGUUCGAGAGAGGUGAGUGGAAUUCCAAGUGUAGAGGUGAAAUUCGUAGAUAUUUGGAGGAACACCAGUGGCGAAGGCGGCUCACUGGCUCGAUACUGACGCUGAGGUACGAAAGUGUGGGGAGCAAACAGGAUUAGAUA
rnacentral:rRNA from 1 species